rnacentral:rRNA from 1 species
GAUGAACGCUGGCGGCGUGCCUAAUACAUGCAAGUCGAGCGAACAGACGAGGAGCUUGCUCCUCUGACGUUAGCGGCGGACGGGUGAGUAACACGUGGAUAACCUACCUAUAAUACUGGGAUAACUUCGGGAAACCGGAGCUAAUACCGGAUAAUAUAUUGAACCGCAUGGUUCAAUAGUGAAAGACGGUUUUGCUGUCACUUAUAGAUGGAUCCGCGCCGCAUUAGCUAGUUGGUAAGGUAACGGCUUACCAAGGCAACGAUGCGUAGCCGACCUGAGAGGGUGAUCAGCCACACUGGAACUGAGACACGGUCCAGACUCCUACGGGAGGCAGCAGUAGGGAAUAUUCCGCAAUGGGCGAAAGCCUGACGGAGCAACGCCGCGUGAGUGAUGAAGGUCUUCGGAUCGUAAAACUCUGUUAUUAGGGAAGAACAAAUGUGUAAGUAACUAUGCACGUCUUGACGGUACCUAAUCAGAAAGCCACGGCUAACUACGUG